UUGCUUUAAUUGUGGGCACCCCCCCACCCCCGGGCACUGCCAGGUCGGUCCCCAAACUCAGUGGCUCUGCUUCCUUCCUUAGGGGCCGCAGGGCCAGCGGGGGUAUCCAGGGAUGGCAGGACCCAAAGGCGAGACGGGUCCUACUGGCUACAAGGGGAUGGUGGGGACCGUUGGUGAGGCCGGGCGGCCGGGCAGGGAAGGCCCAAAGGGACCUCCAGGGGAUCCAGGCGAGAAGGGAGAGCUGGUAGGUGACC